rnacentral:rRNA from 1 species
AGUGGCGGACGGGUGAGUAAAGUAUGGGAAACUGAACGAUGGAGGGGGAUAACUACUGGAAACGGUAGCGAAUAACGCACACCAACGGUAGUAACCAGAUGGGAUUAGGUCGUGGGUGGGGUAACGGCUAACCUAGGCGACGAUCCCUCGAUGGUCUGAGAGGAUGACCAGCCAGCCUGGCACUGAUACACGGUCCAGACUCCUUCGUGAGGCAGCAGUGGGGAUGAUUUCACGAUGGGCGCAAGCCGGAUGCACCCAUGCCGCUUGUUUGAAGAAGGCCUUCGGGUUGUAAAGUACUUUCAGCGAGGAGUCGUUACUCGCAGAAGAAGCACCGGCUAACUCCGUGCCAGCAGCCGCGGUAAUUC